AUUGAACGCUGGCGGCAGGCCUAACACAUGCAAGUCGAGCGGAUGAAGGGAGCUUGCUCCUGGAUUCAGCGGCGGACGGGUGAGUAAUGCCUAGGAAUCUGCCUGGUAGUGGGGGAUAACGUCCGGAAACGGGCGCUAAUACCGCAUACGUCCUGAGGGAGAAAGUGGGGGAUCUUCGGACCUCACGCUAUCAGAUGAGCCUAGGUCGGAUUAGUUAGUUGGUGGGGUAAAGGCCUACCAAGGCGACGAUCCGUAACUGGUCUGAGAGGAUGAUCAGUCACACUGGAACUGAGACACGGUCCAGACUCCUACGGGAGGCAGCAGUGGGGAAUAUUGGGCAAUGGGCGAAAGCCUGAUCCAGCCAUGCCGCGUGUGUGAAGAAGGUCUUCGGAUUGUAAAGCACUUUAAGUUGGGAGGAAGGGCAGUAAGUUAAUACCUUGCUGUUUUGACGUUACCAACAGAAUAAGCACCGGCUAACUUCGUG
rnacentral:rRNA from 1 species